rnacentral:lncRNA from 1 species
GUUAUUUCACGAGGAAAAGAUAUCUCGAGGCACAGUUAUCAUCAAAUAUAUAUCGACGAAAUCACAGCAAACAUACAUGUCGCCUAAAACAUGAGGAUGCAAAGAAUUCGAAACAUUUCCUAUGCUUUAUACGUAUCAAAGACUUUCAUAUGUUCGCUAGUCGUAGCCUCAUAUUGGUUGUACUAAAUAUCUGGGUUUUUGUGAAUAAGAUCUUUAUUUUCGUUUGCUUGAAACUUUUUAAUCUAAGUUGUGUAUGAAAGUAACCUCCAAACCCCGACCUAGCAUAUGAAACCAAACUAACACAGACUAGUACUCGUAAUAUUAUAGUAGCCUCCAACUAAUAAUGUGGAGGAUUGACUCAUUUUGACGUCACUCCAUCUGCUUUUUUUUUUUUCAGCAAGAAAUUUACAGACUCAUGUUGACUCUGUAAACCAUAUUGGUAACUCCGCAUCCAUGUGAACGACAAAGGACAAUUGCUUGCGUGCACUACGUGCUAAGCUAUCCGCCCGAAGGUUCGCCGUCCGAGGUACAUGUACGAUGUCUGAGUUGAGGAAGCUUCCUUUGAGAAGCUUGAUAUCUUCCAAAUAGCUUUCAAAUGCUGGCCAUUCUUCUGAUUCCGAAACCAUCUUCACCAAUUGAGAACAAUCCGUAGCAAACGUAACCUGGACCUGUCUUAAAUUCUUCAUACAUUCCAU